UCUAGCUUGCUAGAAGAUGACGAGUGGCGGACGGGUGAGUAAUGCUUGGGAACUUGCCUUUGCGAGGGGGAUAACAGUUGGAAACGACUGCUAAUACCGCAUAAUGUCUUCGGACCAAACGGGGCUUCGGCUCCGGCGCAAAGAGAGGCCCAAGUGAGAUUAGCUAGUUGGUAAGGUAACGGCUUACCAAGGCGACGAUCUCUAGCUGUUCUGAGAGGAAGAUCAGCCACACUGGGACUGAGACACGGCCCAGACUCCUACGGGAGGCAGCAGUGGGGAAUAUUGCACAAUGGGGGAAACCCUGAUGCAGCCAUGCCGCGUGUGUGAAGAAGGCCUUCGGGUUGUAAAGCACUUUCAGUUGUGAGGAAAAGUUAGUAGUUAAUACCUGCUAACCGUGACGUUAACAACAGAAGAAGCACCGGCUAACUCCGUGCCAGCAGCCGCGGUAAUACGGAGGGUGCGAGCGUUAAUCGGAAUUACUGGGCGUAAAGCGCACGCAGGCGGUUUGUUAAGCUAGAUGUGAAAGCCCCGGGCUCAACCUGGGAUGGUCAUUUAGAACUGGCAGACUAGAGUCUUGGAGAGGGGAGUGGAAUUCCAGGUGUAGCGGUGAAAUGCGUAGAUAUCUGGAGGAACAUCAGUGGCGAAGGCGACUCCCUGGCCAAAGACUGACGCUCAUGUGCGAAAGUGUGGGUAGCGAACAGGAUUAGAUACCCUGGUAGUCCACACCGUAAACGCUGUCUACUAGCUGUGUGUGUCUUUAAGGCGUGCGUAGCGAAGCUAACGCGCUAAGUAGACCGCCUGGGGAGUACGGCCGCAAGGUUAAAACUCAAAUGAAUUGACGGGGGCCCGCACAAGCGGUGGAGCAUGUGGUUUAAUUCGAUGCAACGCGAAGAACCUUACCUACACUUG
rnacentral:rRNA from 2 species